rnacentral:rRNA from 1 species
UACGGAGGGGCUAGCGUUGUUCGGAAUUACUGGGCGUAAAGCGCACGUAGGCGGCUUUGUAAGUUAGAGGUGAAAGCCCAGGGCUUAACCCUGGAAUUGCCUUUAAGACUGCAUCGCUAGAAUCGUGGAGAGGUGAGUGGAAUUCCGAGUGUAGAGGUGAAAUUCGUAGGAUAUCGGGGAGGAACACCGGUGGCGAAGGCGGCGAUCUGGGUCGAUACGUGACGCGUGAGGUGGCGAAAGCGUGGGAGCAAACAGG